CAGAAGUGUUCAGCCCAAAAGAAAAAAGUAUAAGAGCUCCUUUGGGAACAUGAUCUCCUUUCCCAUACUUGGAGAAACAGAACCCAAGAGGACCCAACAAAGCCAGUUCUGUCACCACAGUCCUCUAAGUAGCCGACAGCCUCAGGCACACAUUCAUGGCGAUGCGAGGAAGCUGCAGCCGCCCGCCCCCUGGAGCUCCAAGGUCUUGGCAGUCCCUGGACAUUACCUAUAAUGACGGAACAGAGAAAACAGAGAAUCCUAAGCAGAGCUUGAUCAACAGUUAAGGUAGGAGAUUUGAGGUCUUGCCUUACAAUCUAGACAGGGAUCAAUGUCAUCUCUGUGGACUAACAUCUAUUAUUAAUAAACUAAGGAUGGAAAAUGUAAUACCACUAGCCAC